CAGGCUGGUAUGGCCGUAAGCAAUGGUAGAGCAUGCACGCACGCCAUUUAUAGAUGGUAAAACAUCAGCAAGGGUGGAUGGCAAAUGGUAAUCUGUCAUUUUCCUGCACUCAACAAGCGCCAUGACAAGACCCACACGCCAUUUAGUUUUGAGUUAAUGCACAUAUACUCACUGACAAAUUAAAAAAAAAAAAAAAAGAAAAAAAAGGGAAAAAAAGGAGAGUUUGUCCACUGGUGCUGUUUUCCAAGGAGCUGGCUCCAGUAAAGGAGGAGCAGCGCCCUCUGCUGAUGAAAGGUGAGAAUAAAAAGCUUACAGCACCGGGUAUUCCCAGGCGGUCUCCCAUCCAAGUACUGACCCGGCCCGACCCUGCUUAGCUUCCGAGAUCGGACGAGAUCGGGCGUA
rnacentral:rRNA from 1 species